rnacentral:rRNA from 1 species
UACGGAGGGUGCAAGCGUUAUCCGGAUUCACUGGGUUUAAAGGGUGCGUAGGUGGGUUGGUAAGUCAGUGGUGAAAUCUCCAGGCUUAACUUGGAAACUGCCAUUGAUACUAUCAAUCUUGAAUACCGUGGAGGUCAGCGGAAUAUGUCAUGUAGCGGUGGAAAUGCUUAGAGAUGACAUAGAACACCAAUUGCGAAGGCAGCUGGCUACGCGGGAUAUUGACACUGAUGCACGAAAGCGUGGGGAUCAAACAGG